AGCUUUUGACUCUCUUCAGACUCAUUUAUUGAGUUUUGCUUGAUUCUAAGCUCAUUCCGAGUAGUAAAUUUGGUCCAAAUUGACAUAUGAAAAUAACUGUUUUUCAACCUUCAUCAACACCCCAAACUUAGAAUUUUGCUUGUCCUCAAGAAAAACAAAACAAAACAACACACAAAACAAAACUUGGCUUUAUACUGUUUCAUCCAAUGCCUCAACAAUCCCAAGGUACAUGACAAAACCACUAAAUUCAAUAUCCUCAGUGAAAUCCAAAAUAAGAUGCAUGCAUGCUUUCAACCCAGAGAUUGCACAAUAGAUGUUAUACACUAUGAAUAUCAAUCCACUAAGCAAAAAUGUACUCAUGAAAAUUAACAAAUUAUACCAAGCAAGUGUUUCACUCAAUCACUCAAGUGUUUAAGGUGACACUCCAACUCUCAAUUANUCANAAGUNNCAUNAAACANAAUUNNCAUUCAUCUCAAACAAUCAACAUCUUUACAUGCAAAUGCCAUCAAAAGGACUUUUCCAAGGCUUGUAAUGAGGUUGGGCUAACAAGAAAGAAUUGAUUUUUCUAGAAUGCAAAAUCCUUGAGUCAAGAGAGCUAACAAAAUAUUCAACAUUUAAGCACAACUCUCUCACCAAUAUCUCUCAUUCCCAACUUCUUCCCUUUUCUUUUCUUUUUCAUUGAGCUCAUNUUCAUGCUUUUCUUCUUUUCUUUUCUUUUUCUCAUGAAUUUUUCUCUUUUCACAACAAUUGAGCUCAAUGCCUUUUACUUGUUUUUUCAAUUUUCCCCCGUACAACCCCAAACUUGAACCUUUUCAUCGCAUACAAUUAAGCUCAUCCCAACUUAAGGUAAAGAUUUACAAGACAAGGGUUCACAUAUUGUUUAAGGCUAAGGUUCAAAAAGGGUAAAAUAUUUUCAAGCACUUUGGGUGAAAAUUUGGCUAGAGAAGGGUUUUCAAAAAUGGCCUUGAUCAUAUGACAUUCACAUGCAAUUCAAUCG
rnacentral:lncRNA from 1 species